rnacentral:rRNA from 1 species
UACGUAGGGCGCAAGCGUUUGUCCGGAAUUAUUGGGCGUAAAGAGCUCGUAGGCGGUUUGUCGCGUCUGCUGUGAAAACCUAAGGCUCAACCUUGGGCUUGCAGUGGGUACGGGCAGACUAGAGUGUGGUAGGGGAGACUGGAAUUCCUGGUGUAGCGGUGAAAUGCGCAGAUAUCAGGAGGAACACCGAUGGCGAAGGCAGGUCUCUGGGCCGAUACUGACGUGGAGGAGCGAAAAGCGUGGGGAGCGAACAGG